rnacentral:lncRNA from 1 species
CCCAAAUGUCCAACAAUGAUAGACUGGAUUAAGAAAAUGUGGCACAUAUACACCAUGGAAUACUAUGCAGCCAUAAAAAAUGAUGAAUUCAUGUCCUUUGUAGGGACAUGGAUGAAAUUGGAAAACAUCAUUCUCAGUAAACUAUCGCAAGAACAAGAAACCAAACACCACAUAUUCUCACUCAUAGGUGGGAAUUGAACAAUGAGAACACAUGGACACAGGAAGGGGAAUAUCACACUGGGGACUGUUGUGGGGUGGGGGGAGGGGGGAGGGAUAGCAUUGGGAGAUAUACCUAAUGCUAGAUGACGAGUUAGUGGGUGCAGUGCACCAGCAUGGCACAUGUAUACAUAUGUAAGUAACCUGCACAAUGUGCACAUGUACCCUAAAGCUUAAAGUAUAAUAAAAAAUAAAUAAAUAAAUAAAUAAGAAAAAGAAAGCCAGGCAUGGUGACAUGUGCCUGUGGUCCCAGCUAUUAGGGAGGCUGAGGUGGGAGGAUCCCUUGAACCCAGGAGGUUGAGUCUGUAGUGAGCAGUGAUUACGCCACUGCACUCCAGCCUGGGCAAGACCCUGUCUCAAAAAAAAAAAAGACUUAGAAUUGGUGAUCCAGGCCGCCUAAUGGCAUCAAAUAAUUUGUUAUAUCUUUAAUUUAUUGAAGGAUCACCACAUGCUUUUAAAUAGCAUGGAGAAAUGGAAAGAAUAGGGACUUUUUACUCAGGUAAUACCCAGCCUGCUACCUAACAGGUUGUGUUGUACUAAAUAAAAUGGUACAUAAGAAGAAACACUGUAAAUUAUAUAGUGCGAAUCAAAUAUUGUUAAUAAACCAAUAUCUGUAUAUCCUAUGUCCCGGAUUAAUCUUUAAUUUAGAUACUCCUUCUAGUUAUCUAAUACACAGCAGAGUGAGAAAAAUCAUUAUGGAUUAGGUUCUUUAGUAAGAAACCUGAGAUGGACUUCUCAUUAGCAUUAACUAGUUAUUGCCCAGCUUUGGAGAGCCUUCUUUUGGCUUAUCAUUUAUUAUAAGCCCAGAAAUAGGUGACUAAUCAGAGAUAAAUGUAUGGGUUGUCUGUAUCUAGUUUUAUGCCUUUUUUUUGCCUAAGACGUAGUCAAAUUAAUAUUUUAACUAAUACAUCUUAGCAGAGUUUAGUUAAGCACAAAGUUAACAGUGGGUAGGAUUGAAUCUUGAAAGUAAUCAUGUCUGUAAUGUUUUUCAUGCAUGCAAAAAGCACAGACAAAACCACUCAUGCCCUAUUAAUAAACAAAAUACAGAUCAAAGUUUUCAAAAGUAAUCACUCUAUUUAUUCUAAAUGUCUGUGGCUUUAGGAAAAUACCACCAGCUAGUACUUACCUAUUUAAAGAUGUAGAAUUUAUUAUCCUCUAAUAUUCUUAUCAGUUGUUUCCACAACUUUAGUUUACUAUUGGACUUUCAAAAAUUUAAAGAAUUACAAGUAAAAUUCAUUAAACACUUGUGUGUGAAUAGUAAUACACAGUAAUUAGUACAGCAUGUUGCUUCUUCAACAAAUUGAGUUUUCAGGGAAAUCAGCAAGUAAAUGAAAUAUAAAUUUUUGGUAAAAGUAUCAAACAUUCAUCUUGCCCAUUUUUCCUCUUAAACUUUAUUAUCUAAUCAAACAUAGUUUUCCAUAAGAUGUAAUAAAAUAUAGAUAAGGUUGGAAUAUUUGAGGAUCCAUUUGUGGAACUGAAUUUAAUGAGACUUCAUUGGUGAUACACUCAAUUUUUACUGGGUAAUUAGCUAAUAAUGUUGGUCACUGUCUCACAGUUCAAGUAGCUUUAAGAUGAUGUGGCAAGGAAAACACAAAGCUUUUGGGUAACCAGCGUUCUUAAAUGUAUGGUUUUUGACCAGGUGAACCCUUUAGAAGUGAUUUCUGUUUUAAAAGUAUGUACUUAAAAUACCUUUGGCUGUGAUGAAUGUAGAUCCCAGCAGAAUACCAAAAUCCUAUUUUUUUUGACUGAGUAUUUGUAGAUGCUUAAUGACUGAAAUGAAUUUGGAGGCACUGAUGAAAGUGAUUUUUUUAAAGUUCUCAGGUACUGUUCAAUUAUUUAAUGUUAAGUUUAGUAUCAAGAUACAGUUGUUUUUAAAAUGCCAAAAUGCUGUUUAUUAUACAGAAUAUUUUAUUACAUUUGCAAUAUCUUUGUAUAUAGUGAUUUUUUUCUUGAUAAUAAAUGGAAAAAUUCUAAAAC